ACCGAAUAGAUACCCGGGUAGUCCACGCCCUAAACUAUGUCAACUAGUUGUUGGGAGAGUUAAAUCUCUUAGUAAACGCAGCUAAACGCGUGAAGUUGACCGCCUGGGGAGCACGGCCGCAAGGUUAAAACUCAAAGGAAUUGACGGGGACCCGCACAAGCGGUGGAUUAUGUGGAUUAAUUCGAUGCAACGCGAAAAACCUUACCUACCCUUGACAUGUACGGAACGGGGCAGAGACGUCCCGGUGCCCGAAAGGGAACCGUAACACAGGUGCUGCAUGGCUGUCGUCAGCUCGUGUCGUGAGAUGUUGGGUUAAGUCCCGCAACGAGCGCAACCCUUACCAUUAGUUGCUACAUUCAGUUGGGCACUCUAAUGGGACUGCCGGUGACAAACCGGAGGAAGGUGGGGAGGACGUCAAGUCCUCAUGGCCCUUAUGGGUAGGGCUUCACACGUAAUACAAUGGCCGGUACAGAGGGUUGCCAACCCGCGAGGGGGAGCCAAUCCCAGAAAGCCGGUCGUAGUCCGGAUUGUUCUCUGCAACUCGAGGGCAUGAAGUCGGAAUCGCUAGUAAUC
rnacentral:rRNA from 1 species